GACGAACGCUGGCGGCGUGCCUAAUACAUGCAAGUAGAACGCUGAAGGAGGAGCUUGCUCUUCUGGAUGAGUUGCGAAAGGGUGAGUAACGCGUAGGUAACCUGCCUGGUAGCGGGGGAUAACUAUUGGAAACGAUAGCUAAUACCGCAUAACAGUAGAUGUUGCAUGACAUUUGCUUAAAAGGUGCAAUUGCACCACUACCAGAUGGACCUGCGUUGUAUUAGCUAGUUGGUGGGGUAACGGCUCACCAAGGCGACGAUACAUAGCCGACCUGAGAGGGUGAUCGGCCACACUGGGACUGAGACACGGCCCAGACUCCUACGGGAGGCAGCAGUAGGGAAUCUUCGGCAAUGGACGGAAGUCUGACCGAGCAACGCCGCGUGAGUGAAGAAGGGUUUCGGAUCGUAAAGCUCUGUUGUAAGAGAAGAACGAGUGUGAGAGUGGAAAGUUCACACUGUGACGGUAUCUUACCAGAAAGGGACGGCUAACUACGUG
rnacentral:rRNA from 1 species